UUCAGUUAGGGCCUUUGUCCUCCGACUUGGUUGGAGUGCACAUGGGUCCUGGCCAGAAAAUAAAGUUCUCUAGUAAGAUCCCAGGACGGUGUCAUGCUUUGAGAGUGUGUUGCUAAUCUAAUUCGAGGACAAGGUCCAACGCAGCCAUUCCUGUUCACUUACAUCCAAUCUGUGUCUACUUUCCCACCACCACGGCCAGGCCCUCAGGUGAGAUGGCAGCCCUGGCUGGAACCCUGAGGAUAACCACAUUUAAGGCACACUGCGAGGCUGCGGAGCCAUGUGCGGAUCCUGACUCACAGACGGUUUGGAACACCCAGGCAGCCAUGAGAAAGAUGCUCGGGAAAGAGGACUUGCAGAACUUCUUCAGAAAGUGGCAAGAAUGACAGUAAGGCCUCACACAUGCUAGGCAAGUGCUUUACCACUGAGAUCCAUCCCCGGACAGGAAGUGAAAAGGAUUAUGGGACCACAGUCUACCUGUCUCUCUCUUUUGCCUGGCUUGAGAUGGAGAUGUGAUGGCUCACUCUGAAACCUGCUCCUCAUAUGAUGUUCUGCCCACACUGAGGCCCAAACCAAUGGUGCUGCUCAGUGUUGGACUUGUUGCUCCAGAGCCACAAGACAAAAUAAAGCUCUCUUUAUUUCAUAAGUAUCUGGUCACAGGAUUUCCUAACAGUGACAGAAAGCUCACCAACACCCUUAGCUCUGGGGCAUCCUGGUGUUUGAUUGAAGGAAAACUAAGAAGCUAGAAGAGAGGGAAGAGCUGAAGGCGCUGAUGGAGGACAGGAAGUUGUUUAACUCCCAAAAUCCUUGCCGAAAAAUACUGUAGUACUGAAAACCUCAGCACCAGAUGGACCAGUGGUAGAAAAAUGUAAGGUGUAUGUUUUGUGUUUUCUGAGAGUUACACCUGUGUAAUGCCAUCUUUUAAAAUUUUAUCAUUGGAUCCAGUAUUAAAUUUGUAUUUCAUUUGAAACGGUUUGAUGGCUCCAGUAUCUUGCAUAUUUUCUCCUUUUAUGCCAUGAGCACACUUGAGUGAUGGAUUUCAAAAAUAAAAUGAGGAAAAUCGUGAUAAUUAGAUUGAAGAUUUAAUAAUAGACUUAAAAAGGCUUAUUGUGUUGUUUUAAAAUUCACUCAUAGCUUUAUUUUUCUGAAAUUAAUGGUUUUGGAAGUCCUAAAGCAAAUUAGUCUCUGAGUGUGUUUGAAUUUAUAAGAAAAUAUUCACAUAAGCUGUUCUAAACUCCACUGAUUGAUUUUUGGGUAUAGACCAUAACAUUUCAGUUCUCAAAAGUUCUUAGGAGAUAAAGAUUGAGUUAGCAAUUAAAGAAAUUAUUAUUUUUCAAAUGAUAAAAUAAUAAAAGAAUGUUCUUUGUGGAAAUGUAUAAAACAGGCUGGCGUAGUGAAGAAAAAG